GCCUCAGGUGUGAGGCUACAGCCCAAGGUCUGGGGUGUCAUCCAGGUAGAUCCAGAAGACAGAGCAUCAAGCCAAAGAGGAUUUUUCUCGAGCUGUAAAAUCUAAAGGAAUUUACCCUGUUAGGUUUUCAACUUGUUUGGACCUGUGGCCUCUUUCUUCUUUCUGAUUUUCCCUUUUGGAAUAGGAAUGUCUGUUAUAUUCCUGUCCCAUCAUUGCAUUUUGGAAGCAGAUAACUUGUCUGAUUUCAUGGAUUCACAGCUGGAAAGAAAUUUUACCUCAGCAUGAAUUGUAGCUUGAGUCUCAUGCACACUUGAUUUAGAUGAGAAAAUUUGGACACACAGAGAGGCACCAGGCGUGGAGGUGCACAGGAAAGACCUUGUGAGGAUACCGUGAGAAGGCAGCCAUCUGCAAGCCAAGGAGAGAGGCCACAGAAGGAACCAAACCUGAUGGCACCCAGAUCUUGGACUUCUAGCCUUCUGAACUUUUGAAGAAGAAACCAGGUCAUUUGUCCUGCAGAGACUUCCACUGCCUAGGUUUUGCUGACUGCAUCACCAGGAUAUGAAGACUGAGUAACAGAGAGCAUAUUUUCUUGAGAAAAUCUGUGAGAGUCCUGAGCAUCUGUUAUUUUCCCUGAGCAGCAUUUUCUUUCUUUCCUUGUGGAUUCAACUGUGUGGCAUUUUGCACUAAGAGUAAGACGUCUGGAGUGAUUCAGCCAACCCAUUCGCCCCAGUGCUGACAAAGCAUCAAUUCCCGGACUUCUUGAAGGUGCUGCCAUUAUCUACCAUUUCAGGAAAACAGAGAGCUUAGAGGGAGUAGUGUACAAUUAUUUUCAGAAAUUAGAUGGCUGUAUUUGAAUCUGAGAACCCAAAUUCGUGGAUAAUAUAUAUUUUGUCUCUCUGUGUCUACCUCUGUCUCUCUCUUUCAUAUAGAGCAAAGGGUUAUGGUUGUGAAUUGAAACAUUAUCUAUCACUGGGAACUUUAUGGGGAGAAUUUUAAUAAAUACAUGGAUAUUUCAUGUGUCAUUUAUUGACAAAACAUAGAACUAAAUGAUUAAAACUAAUUUGCAUAGUUUGUGG
rnacentral:lncRNA from 1 species